rnacentral:lncRNA from 1 species
UGGAGAUCUUACUGGGGAAGGGUAAAUGUUGCAUGCUUUUCCUUCAAAAACAAUUAAUCUCUUCCAGGAAGGAAAACAGCUCAUCUCUUGACAUGAGUGCAAUAGAGCAUUCCAGUUCUUGGUACCUCCAUGGCCUUCAAGUUGCUUCAUUCCUGCUUAACUACCAGUUCAACUCUGCCUGUUUCUGGCAGACUACUUUACCUCUUGACACAGGUCCAAAGGUGAUGGCAUCCUCAAGGUGUAACCCAGUGGUGUUGUCUAAUGCAGCUAGGUGUAUGGCCAACACAAGGCUCACCAUUUCACUUGAGAAACACGUUCAGAAAAAGAGGAAGAGGAGGAAGUGGUGUUGAGUUUGUCUUAACUCCAGAUCAAGCUCUGAUGGCAAGGGUUUAACCAAGCUUGAAAAUGGCAACCUGACCCCUGGAAUCCCCUUCAGCAGGCAGUGACACAGGAGAAAGCAAGGACGUGAAGGUGAG